rnacentral:rRNA from 1 species
UGAAUACGAGAUGCUACGGCAUCGAAGCAGUCUAUGUCAUACUUCCAAGAAAAGCUUGCACUGUCAUAAACAAAUAAUGCCUGUACCAUAACCGACACAGGUGGGUAGGUAGAGUAUACUAAGGGGCGCGAGAUAACUCUCUCUAAGGAACUCGGCAAAAUGACUCCGUAACUUCGGGAGAAGGAGUGCCUUAUUUUAUAAGGUUGCAAUAACAAGAUCCAAGCAACUGUUUACCAAAAACACAGGUCUCCGCUAAGUCGUAAGACGAUGUAUGGGGGCUGACGCCUGCCCAGUGCCAGAAGGUUAAAGAAGUUGGUUAGCAUUAGCGAAGCUGAUAACUGAAGCCCUGGUGAACGGCGGCCGUAACUAUAACGGUCCUAAGGUAGCGAAAUUCCUUGUCGGGUAAGUUCCGACCCGCACGAAAGGCGUAAUGAUUUGGAUACUGUCUCGGAGAGGGGCUCGGUGAAAUAGACUUGUCUGUGAAGAUGCGGACUACCUGCACCAGGACAGAAAGACCCUAUGAAGCUUUACUGUAACUUGAGAUUGAAAUUGGACUUUAUUUGCGCAGUAUAGGUGGGAGACGUUGAAAAUAUUCUUGCGGGAAUAUUGGAGUCAUCAGUGAGAUACCACUCUUAUAAUGUUAGAUUUCUAACUUUGUAUCAUUAUCUGGUCAAAGAACAGUCUCAGGCGGGCAGUUUGACUGGGGCGGUCGCCUCCCAAACGGUAACGGAGGCGCACAAAGGUUUCCUCUGAACGUGUAGAAAUCGUAUCUAGAGUGUAAAGGCAUAAGGAAGCUUGACUGUGAGACCUACAAGUCGAGCAGGGACGAAAGUCGGUCUUAGUGAUCUGACGGUGCUGAGUGGAAAGGCCGUCACUCAACGGAUAAAAGUUACUCUAGGAUAACAGGCUGAUCUCCCCCAAGAGUUCACAUCGACGGGGAGGUUUGGCACCUCGAUGUCGGCUCAUCGCAUCCUGGGGCGGUAGUACGUCCCAAGGGUUGGGCUGUUCGCCCAUGAAAGCGGUACGCGAGCUGGGUUCAGAACGACGUGAGACAGUUCGGUCCAUAUCCGGUGUAGGCGUUAGAAUAUUGAGAGGAGCCUUCUUUAGUACGAGAGGACCGAGAAGGACAUACCUCUGGUGUACCAGUUAUCGUGCCAACGGUAAACGCUGGGUAGCUAUGUAUGGAGAGGAUAACCGCUGAAAGCAUCUAAGUGGGAAGCCCACCUCAAGAUAAG